rnacentral:misc_RNA from 1 species
AACGCACAUUGCGCCCGCCAGCAUUCUGGCGGGCAUGCCUGUUCGAGCGUCAUUUCAACCCUCGAGCUCCCCUUGGGGAGCCCGGCGUUGGGGACCGGCAGCACACCGCCGGCCCUGAAAUGGAGUGGCGGCCCGUCCGCGGCGACCUCUGCGUAGUACAUCACCUCGCACUGGAGACCCGACGUGGCCACGCCGUAAAACACCCAACCUUCUGAACGUUGACCUCGGAUCAGGUAGGAAUACCCGCUGAACUUAA